rnacentral:rRNA from 1 species
UACAGAGGGUGCGAGCGUUAAUCGGAAUGACUGGGCGUAAAGGGCGCGUAGGUGGAUAAUUGUGUUGGAUGUGAAAGCCCCGGGCUUAACCUGGGAAUUGCAUACAAAACUGGUUAUCUAGAGUGGAGCAGAGGUGAGUGGAAUUUCCGGAGUAGCGGUGAAAUGCGUAGAUACCGGAAGGAACACCAGUGGCGAAGGCGACUCACUGGGCUCAAACUGACACUGAGGCGCGAAAGCGUGGGGAGCAAACAGG